GUUGUCUCCAAACCUAGGCACAAGAGUUUUUGUGGCCCGAAAGAUGUCCCUUUUCUCUUCCUAUGGAGAAGGAAAGGAAUUGUGCCAGGUAUAAAAGGGCUGACUGACCUAAAAGGGUGUUAUUCUUGCACAGAUUAGGUUUGAGGCAUUACAAAAACUGUAGGACUGUCAGACUUGUGGUUGCAAGAAGUAUGUGGAACUAGGUGCUGGGAG